rnacentral:rRNA from 1 species
AUAAAAGAAAGUAAAUAAGGGCGCAUGGCGGAUGCCUUGGCUCUCGGAGGCGAUGAAGGACGUGAUAAGCUGCGAUAAGCUUCGGGUAGGUGCAAAUGACCUUUGAUCCGAAGAUUUCCGAAUGGGACAACCCGGCAUUCUGAAGGAAUGUCAUCCAACCUGGUUGGAGGCUAACGCAGGGAACUGAAACAUCUUAGUACCUGCAGGAAAAGAAAAUAAAUAAUGAUUCCCCUAGUAGUGGCGAGCGAACGGGGAUUAGCCCAAACCACCCAUGUUACGGCAUGUGUGGGGUUGUAGGACCACGCUCUCGCAAGACAGUUAUUGAGAAGAAACGACUGGAAAGUCGUGCCAUAGACGGUGAUAGCCCGGUAUUCUAAGGUAACCGAAGCGUAGUGGUAUCCUGAGUAGCGCGGAGCACGAGGAAUUCUGCGUGAAUCAGCCGGGACCAUCCGGUAAGGCUAAAUACUCCCGAGAGACCGAUAGCGAACCAGUACUGUGAAGGAAAGGUGAAAAGCACUUCGAAUAGAAGAGUGAAAUAGUCCCUGAAACCAUGCGCCUACAAGCGGUCGGAGCAGCUUAAGUUGUGACGGCGUGCCUUUUGCAUAAUGAACCUACGAGUUACUUUUUCCGGCAAGGUUAAGCAUCUUGAGAUGUGGAUCCGAAGCGAAAGCGAGUCUGAACAGGGCGGAUAGUCGGAAGGAGUAGACGCGAAACCAAGUGAUCUACCCUUGGGCAGGUUGAAGGUUAGGUAACACUAACUGGAGGACCGAACCGAUAAGCGUUGAAAAGCUUCCGGAUGACCUGAGGGUGGGGGUGAAAGGCUAAUCAAACUUGGAGAUAGCUCGUACUCCCCGAAAUGCAUUUAGGUGCAGCCUUGAGAGUUACUAAUGUGAGGUAGAGCGACUGAUAAGAUGCGAGGGCUUCACCGCCUAUCAAGUCUUGAUAAACUCCGAAUGCGCAUUAGUUCUAUCUCAGGAGUGAGGGCAUGGGUGCUAAGGUCCAUGUCCUAAAGGAGAAGAAUCCAGACCAUCAGCUAAGGUCCCCAAAUAAACACUAAGUUGAACUAACGAAGUCAGAUUGCUAAGACAGCUAGGAUGUUGGCUUGGAAGCAGCCAUUCAUUUAAAGAGUGCGUAACAGCUCACUAGUCGAGGAGUUUGGCGUGGAUAAUAAUCGGGCAUAAGUGUUUUACCGAAGCUAUGGGAUACGUAAGUAUCGGUAGGGGAGCAUUCCACUCAGCGUUGAAGGCGAAGCGUGAGCUUUACUGGAGCGUGUGGAAAAGCAAAUGUAGGUAUAAGUAACGAUAAAGGGGGUGAGAAACCCCCUCGCCGCAAGACUAAGGUUUCCUGAUCAACGCUAAUCGGAUCAGGGUUAGUCGGGUCCUAAGGCUCAGCCGAACGGUGAGGCCGAUGGCAGAACAGGUUAAUAUUCCUGUACUACCUGUAGGAGUGAUGUGGAGACGGAGGAGUGACAACGCCGCGGACUGACGGAAUAGUCCGUUAAAGGGUGUAGAUGUUGAUUAUCCCAGGCAAAUCCGGGAUAAGAGUCGAACCUGACAGUAUACCAAUUUCCUCGGAAAACGGUAAUAGUGCGUGUAAACAUACUCCCAAGAAAAUCCGCUAAACUUAAUCUUACAGGUACCCGUACCGUAAACGGACACACGUAGUCGGGUUGAAUAUACUCAGGCGCUUGAGUGAAUCACGGUUAAGGAACUAGGCAAAUUGACCCUGUAACUUCGGGAUAAAGGGUCCCUACCCGGUGACGGGAGGGCGCAGAGAAUAGGUCCAGGCAACUGUUUAACAAAAACACAGGGCUGUGCAAAAUUGAAAGAUCACGUAUACAGCCUGACACCUGCCCGGUGCUGGAAGGUUAAGAGGAGAUGUCAUCGCAAGAGAAGCAUUGAAUUGAAGCCCCAGUAAACGGCGGCCGUAACUAUAACGGUCCUAAGGUAGCGAAAUUCCUUGUCGGGUAAGUUCCG